rnacentral:tRNA from 1 species
GGCUCCAUUGCAUAGUGGCAGUGCAUCUGUCUCGUAGGAUGCUAAAGUUAACAGAAGGUGCGAGUUCGAUUCUCGCUGGAGCCA